rnacentral:rRNA from 1 species
GUGGGUAACCUGCCCUUGAAGUAGGGGAUAACACUUGGAAACAGGUGCUAAUACCGGAUAACAACCAAAACCACCUGGUUUUGGUUUAAAAGACGGCUUCGGCUGUCACUUUAGGAUGGACCCGCGGCGUAUUAGCUUGUUGGUAAGGUAACGGCCUACCAGGGCGAUGAUACGUAGCCGACCUGAGAGGGUAAUCGGCCACAUUGGGACUGAGACACGGCCCAAACUCCUACGGGAGGCAGCAGUAGGGAAUCUUCCACAAUGGACGAAAGUCUGAUGGAGCAACGCCGCGUGAGUGAUGAAGGGUUUCGGCUCGUAAAACUCUGUUGUUGGAGAAGAACAGGUGUCAGAGUAACUGUUGACAUCUUGACGGUAUCCAACCAGAAAGCCACGGCUAACUACGUGCCAGCAGCCGCGGUAAUACGUAGGUGGCAAGCGUUGUCCGGAUUUAUUGGGCGUAAAGCGAGCGCAGGCGGUUUUUUAGGUCUGAUGUGAAAGCCUUCGGCUUAACCGGAGAAGUGCAUCGGAAACCGGGAGACUUGAGUGCAGAAGAGGACAGUGGAACUCCAUGUGUAGCGGUGAAAUGCGUAGAUAUAUGGAAGAACACCAGUGG